UGGCUCAGAUUGAACGCUGGCGGCAGGCCUAACACAUGCAAGUCGGACGGUAGCACAGAGAGCUUGCUCUUGGGUGACGAGUGGCGGACGGGUGAGUAAUGUCUGGGGAUCUGCCCGAUAGAGGGGGAUAACCACUGGAAACGGUGGCUAAUACCGCAUAACGUCGCAAGACCAAAGAGGGGGACCUUCGGGCCUCUCACUAUCGGAUGAACCCAGAUGGGAUUAGCUAGUAGGCGGGGUAAUGGCCCACCUAGGCGACGAUCCCUAGCUGGUCUGAGAGGAUGACCAGCCACACUGGAACUGAGACACGGUCCAGACUCCUACGGGAGGCAGCAGUGGGGAAUAUUGCACAAUGGGCGCAAGCCUGAUGCAGCCAUGCCGCGUGUAUGAAGAAGGCCUUCGGGUUGUAAAGUACUUUCAGCGGGGAGGAAGGCGAUGAGGUUAAUAACCNNNNNGAUUGACGUUACCCGCAGAAGAAGCACCGGCUAACUCCGUGCCAGC
rnacentral:rRNA from 1 species